rnacentral:rRNA from 1 species
GACGAACGCUGGCGGCGCGCUUAACACAUGCAAGUCGAGCGAAGCGGCGGACGGGUGAGUAACACGCGAGUAACCUGCCUUAGACAUUGGGAUAGCCUCGGGAAAACGGGAUUAAUACCAAAUGGUCUAAGAUGGACUCGCGUCCCAUUAGCUAGUUGGUGGGUAACGGCCCACCAAGGCGACGAUGGGUAGCCGGCCGGAUAUGGGGACCGGCCACAUUUGAACUGGGAAACGGUCCAAACUCUUCGGGAGGCAGCAGUGGGGAAUAUUGCACAAUGGAGGGAACUCUUAUGCUGCUCCGCCGCGUGACCGAAGAAGGCUUUCGAUUCGUAAAGUUCUUUUAUAUGGGAAGCGGUACCAUAAGAAAAAGCCCCGGCUAACUACGUGCCAGCAGCCGCGGUAAUUC